UCCCCGGCUCCUACAUCGGUAAUGCUCCUGUCGUGGUGGACGGGCCCUAUCCAAGGCAAAAGCGUUUUUUGACCUCUGCUCUCGGGAGCAAAUUGUCCCUACACCAUGAGGGCCUGGAGGACGGGAAGCGGCGUGGCUUCAAGGGCUGCAGACUCAGUUUGCCUUUGUGCUCGGCGCUGCUUCCAUUUCAAAGGCUUCGCCCGCGAAUCGCGACUGUGUGUGUUUGGCUGCUCUGCGAGGGUCCAGGCUGUGUAGAGGUCACAGCAUGAGUGGAUUGUGGGCUCAGUCAUCUCAACAGGAUGAGCUUGAAAUUCUUGCUUUGGGCCAUAUGGAGUGGAUAUUCCAGAAGGAAAUUACAUAUUGCUCUCUGUUUUUACUCAACUCCUUUUCACUUUAAAAGUGGACCCUUUGAAGCAGCCUUUUUCUUACCUCAGAAUCUGACAUGAAU